ensembl:sense_intronic
AUAAUGGUGUUUUUAUUCAGCCAAAACCAAACUAUUCUAAUUAGUUUAAAGGAGAAAGCUGACAUGCAUGGACCUGCAGGUGGGGAGAGUGACUGAACACAGCAAGUCCCAGUGAUGAAGGCCCUGGCCACCCUCAAGAGCAGGCACUCAAAAUAUGGCAUUCCUCUUUCUAAAGUCUCUAGAGUUAGAAAUUCUAAGUGCAUUCCCUUACCUGGUGUAGCCAUUGACCCU